rnacentral:snRNA from 1 species
AUACUUACCUGGACGGGGUCGACGACUGAUCAAGAAGAGUCGUGGCCUAGGCUAGUGGUCCACAUUGCACUUGGUGGAUGCGCUGGCUUACCAUCUCCUCAAAUGGAAGAGUGGACGUCAUAAUUUGUGAUAGAGGGGGUACGCGUCCGCGCGGCCCCUGC